rnacentral:rRNA from 1 species
GCCCAUCAGAGGGGGAUAACAUUCGGAAACGGAUGCUAAAACCGCAUAGGUCUUCGAACCGCAUGGUUUGAAGAGGAAAAGAGGCGCAAGCUUCUGCUGAUGGAUGGACCCGCGGUGCAUUAGCUAGUUGGUGAGGUAACGGCUCACCAAGGCCGUGAUGCAUAGCCGACCUGAGAGGGUGAUCGGCCACAUUGGGACUGAGACACGGCCCAAACUCCUACGGGAGGCAGCAGUAGGGAAUCUUCCGCAAUGGACGCAAGUCUGACGGAGCAACGCCGCGUGAGUGAAGAAGGUUUUCGGAUCGUAAAACUCUGUUGUUAGAGAAGAACAAGUGCUAGAGUAACUGUUAGCGCCUUGACGGUAUCUAACCAGAAAGCCACGGCUAACUACGUGCCAGCAGCCGCGGUAAUACGUAGGUGGCAAGCGUUGUCCGGAUUUAUUGGGCGUAAAGCGAGCGCAGGCGGUUCCUUAAGUCUGAUGUGAAAGCCCCCGGCUCAACCGGGGAGGGUCAUUGGAAACUGGGGAACUUGAGUGCAGAAGAGGAGAGUGGAAUUCCAUGUGUAGCGGUGAAAUGCGUAGAUAUAUGGAGGAACAC